rnacentral:lncRNA from 1 species
CAUUUGGUAUUAAGCCCCUGCUAAACAUCAAGCUUGUCAUGAAGAAAUGAGGUCAGCACACAAAGGGAAUGCCCCUUGGAGAAACUCACCACUCCAUUUGGAGCUAACUGGACCGAUUCUUGACCAGUGAAAAGAUAAAUCCAGUGUAAGGUGCAAGCACCUGCUUUUAACAUUAUGCCAUUGUGAUUUUAGCUGCUGCUCACAGGUAACUAUCGCUUUUCAAGUCUUUCCUUCCUUG